rnacentral:rRNA from 1 species
AGAGCGAACGCUGGCGGCAGGCUUAACACAUGCAAGUCGAGCGGAUGUAGCAAUACAUCAGCGGCAGACGGGAGAGGAACACGUGGGAACGCGCCCUUUGGUUCGGAAUAACUCAGGGAAACUUGAGCUAAUACCGGAUAAGCCCUUACGGGGAAAGAUUUAUCGCCAAAAGGAACGGCCCGCGUCCGAUUAGCUAGUUGGUGAGGUAAUGGCUCACCAAGGCGACGAUCGGUAGCUGGUCUGAGAGGAUGACCAGCCUCACUGGGACUGAGACACGGCCCAGACUCCUACGGGAGGCAGCAGUGGGAAUAUUGGACAAUGGGCGCAAGCCUGAUCCAGCCAUGCCGCGUGAGUGAUGAAGGCCGUUAGGUUGUAAAGCUCUUUUAGCAGGGAAGAUAAUGACGGUACCUGCAGAAAACGCCCGGACUAACUUCGUGCCAGCAGCCGC